rnacentral:rRNA from 1 species
UUAUACUGUCUCCUCUCUCCAAUCAGUGAAACUGAUCUCCCCGUGAAGAAGCGGGGAUUCAAUUAUAAGACGAGAAGACCCCAUGGAGCUUUAAACCCAAUUUGCACCCCUACCACCCCAAACAUCAACCAAACCUCAGGGGCCUGUACAUUGGUUUUAGGUUGGGGGGACCACGGAGCAAAAUAAAACCUCCAUAACAAAUGGGCUAACACCCUUACCUGCGAUUUACAAAUCCAAGAAUCAUUAAAAUGAUGUUUAAUGACCCAAUAAGUUGAUCAAUGAACCAAGUUACCCUGGGGAUAACAGCGCAAUCCACUCCAAGAGCCCGUAUCGACAAGUGGGUUUACGACCUCGAUGUUGGAUCAGGGUAUCCCAGUGGUGCAGCCGCUACUAAGGGUUCGUUUGUUCAACGAUUAAAACCCUACGUGAUCUGAGCAGAAAACGG